rnacentral:rRNA from 1 species
UACGGGGGGGGCAAGCGUUGUUCGGAAUUACUGGGCGUAAAGGGUCUGUAGGCGGUUCGUUAUGUCGGAUGUGAAAGCCCUCGGCUUAACCGGGGAAGUGCAUCCGAAACUGGCGAGCUUGAGUACUAAAGAGGGUCGCGGAAUUCCCGGUGUAGAGGUGAAAUUCGUAGAUAUCGGGAGGAACACCAGCGGCGAAGGCGGCGACCUGGGUAGAUACUGACGCUGAGGUGCGAAAGCGUGGGGAGCAAACAGG